rnacentral:rRNA from 1 species
UACAGGGGGGGCAAGCGUUGUUCGGAAUCACUGGGCGUAAAGGGUGCGUAGGCGGGUCUUUAAGUCAGGGGUGAAAUCCUGGAGCUCAACUCCAGAACUGCCUUUGAUACUGAAGAUCUUGAGUUCGGGAGAGGUGAGUGGAACUGCGAGUGUAGAGGUGAAAUUCGUAGAUAUUCGCAAGAACACCAGUGGCGAAGGCGGCUCACUGGCCCGAUACUGACGCUGAGGCACGAAAGCGUGGGGAGCAAACAGG